ensembl:snoRNA SNORD27 Small nucleolar RNA SNORD27
ACUUCAUGACAUACACAAAAUGACAAGCAUACAGUGGAACUUCCAAGUGAGAUCAUCUUACUUCUGAAAAGU